rnacentral:rRNA from 1 species
GCUAUACUGCAGUCGAGCGACUGUUAAGGAGCUUGCUCCUUCGGCGUUAGCGGCGGACGGGUGAUUAACACGUGGGCAACCUACCUUAUGGUUUGGGAUAACUCCGGGAAACCGGGGCUAAUACCGAAUAAUCUGUUUCACUUCAUGGUGAAACAUUGAAAGACGGUUUCUGCUGUCGCUAUAGGACGGGCCCGCGACGAACUGUCUAGUUGGUGAGGGGAUGACCCCCCACGGCGACGAUGCGUAACCGACCUGACAGGGAGAGCAGCCACCCUGGGGCUGACAUGCGGACCGGACUCCUACCGGAGGCAGCCAUGGGGAAUCUUCCACAAUGGGCUAAAGCCUGAUGGAGCCACUCCCCGGGAAUGAAGAAGGAUUUCGGUUCGUAAAACUCUGUUGUUAGGGAAGAACAAGUACCGUCGUAACUGGCUGUACCUUGACGGUACCUUAUUAUUAAGCCACGGCUAACUACGUGCCAGCAGCCGCGGUAAUACGUAGGUGGCAAGCGUUGUCCGGAAUUAUUGGGCGUAAAGCGCGCGCAGGUGGUUUCUUAAGUCUGAUGUGAAAGCCCACGGCUCAACCGUGGAGGUUCAUUGGAAACUGGGAGACUUGAGUGCAGAAGAGGAUAGUGGAAUUCCAAGUGUAGCGGUGAAAUGCGUAGAGAUUUGGAGGAACACCAGUGGCGAAGGCGACUAUCUGGUCUGUAACUGACACUGAGGCGCGUAAGCGUGGGGAGCCAACUGGAUUAGAUACCCUGGUAGUCCACGCCGUCAACGAUGA